rnacentral:rRNA from 1 species
UACGUAGGGUGCAAGCGUUAAUCGGAAUUACUGGGCGUAAAGCGUGCGCAGGCGGUUGUGUAAGACAGGCGUGAAAUCCCCGGGCUCAACCUGGGAAUUGCGCUUGUGACUGCACGGCUGGAGUGCGGCAGAGGGGGAUGGAAUUCCGCGUGUAGCAGUGAAAUGCGUAGAUAUGCGGAGGAACACCGAUGGCGAAGGCAAUCCCCUGGGCCUGCACUGACGCUCAUGCACGAAAGCGUGGGGAGCAAACAGG